AUGAAACUCCGCUUCCCGUACGAUCACCGAAGUUAAGCAACGUCGAGUCUGGUCAUUAUCUUGAUGGGUGACCGCUUGGGAAUACCAGGUGCUGUAAG